AAUUGCCACAGGAUACGGCCAACUCACAACCCACGUGCUCCCAGUGGUCGACCUUCAAUAAUGUUUGCUGUUCCCAGUUUAUAUGGAGUGCAGAAUUUCUUGCAUCCAGUUGAACAAACAAAACUGAGCAUUUGCCAAGAGGAGUGUUUAUUUAAAGACUACCCUUGUGAUGAGGAUGUCUUUCAACUGUGUGUAGAACUCAUGGCUGAGCAUAACCUUGUCAUGUCAGAUGAUGUUUAUGAAAUUACGGACCUUUACCUUCAACUUCGUGAACUGAUCCUUCAAGGACUGGAUUUGGAGGAAUAGAUUCACCAUUCUAAUCUAAUCUACAACAUUCACUAUAAGCUAAAGAUGUUGAACUGCAGCCUUACUCUCCCUACCCAAGCAACCUUGGACCACUGGAUGGAAUCGCAAAGCUUUUGGCAUCACAUGCCAGUGUGUUUUUAAUCCAAUCAUAGAUUUAACCAUUAUCCACUGUAUGAAGCCCUGCAACCUCUAAAGCACCCAGACUCAGGCUCCAUGAGCCUACUCUGAGGAUCCAGAUGGAAAAACAUUUACAUCCCAUCAUUAUAUACACCCCUCAGGAUCACCUUGUCUAUUAGACACAUUACUCAAGGUACAGUAAAUAAUCUCCAUUAUAAAUCAGUGCAUGAUGAUAUAAAAUCACAGUGAUGUUGCUUUGUGUUUUCAGAGGGCAGAAAUAAUUUGUUCCAUACCAUCCUCAUAUCUAUCCUCAUGUGCAAAGGAGGCCAGCAUAAUGUCAAAUCAAGAUCUUAUUUGUGAUCUGUUUGUUUUCAGUCUUAUAGCAUGGCAAAAGCACAACCCUCAGAAUUAAAGGGGAAAAUGCACAAGCAUCUAGAUGUAAUGAAUACUAAAAAAAAGACUAUUUUUUAAUGUAUAAACUAAGUUUUUCCAACUACAGUAAUGUAAAUUUUUUUGCAUGAUUUCAAACAUUUUUGUGAUACACUAUCAUUACUUUCAGGCCUAACCUGAAUACAAAUGAAGCACAGCAAACCUGUUUUAGAUGUACAAGACAAUGUUUUGAACCUCAAAACUAAAG
ensembl:lncRNA